rnacentral:rRNA from 1 species
AUACGUAGGAUGCAAGCGUUGUCCGGAAUUACUGGGCGUAAAGAGCGCGCAGGCGGCACUUUAAGUAGGGCGUGAAAUCUCUCGGCUUAACUGAGAGGGGUCGUUCUAAACUGGAGAGCUAACGAGGGCAGGAGAGGAAAGUGGAAUUCCCGGUGUAGUGGUGAAAUGCGUAGAUAUCGGGAGGAACACCUGUGGCGAAGGCGACUUUCUGGCCUGUUCCUGACGCUGAGGCGCGAAGGCUAGGGGAGCGAACGGGAUUAGAUACCCCGGUAGUCCUAGCAGUAAACGAUGGAUACUAGGUGUUGGUGGUAUUGACCCCACCAGUGCCGGAGCUAACGCACUAAGUAUCCCGCCUGGGGAGUACGGCCGCAAGGCUAAA